rnacentral:rRNA from 1 species
GGCGGCGUGCUUAACACAUGCAAGUCGAACGGUAAGGCCCUUCGGGGUACACGAGUGGCGAACGGGUGAGUAACACGUGGGUAAUCUGCCCUGCACUUCGGGAUAAGCCUGGGAAACUGGGUCUAAUACCGGAUAUUCAGCUUNUGCCGCAUGGUGGUGGUUGGAAAGUUUUUCGGUGCAGGAUGAGCCCGCGGCCUAUCAGCUUGUUGGUGGGGUAAUGGCCUACCAAGGCGACGACGGGUAGCCGGCCUGAGAGGGUGAUCGGCCACACUGGGACUGAGACACGGCCCAGACUCCUACGGGAGGCAGCAGUGGGGAAUAUUGCACAAUGGGCGAAAGCCUGAUGCAGCGACGCCGCGUGGGGGAUGACGGUCUUCGGAUUGUAAACCCCUUUCAGUAGGGACGAAGCGCAAGUGACGGUACCUGCAGAAGAAGCACCGGCCAACUACGUGCCAGCAGCCGCGGUAAUACGUAGGGUGCGAGCGUUGUCCGGAAUUACUGGGCGUAAAGAGCUCGUAGGCGGUUUGUCGCGUCGUCCGUGAAAACUCGGAGCUUAACUCCGAGCUUGCGGGCGAUACGGGCAGACUUGAGUACUACAGGGGAGACUGGAAUUCCUGGUGUAGCGGUGAAAUGCGCAGAUAUCAGGAGGAACACCGGUGGCGAAGGCGGGUCUCUGGGUAGUAACUGACGCUGAGGAGCGAAAGCAUGGGUAGCGAACAGGAUUAGAUACCCUGGUAGUCCAUGCCGUAAACGGUGGGCGCUAGGUGUGGGGUCCUUCCACGGAUUCCGUGCCGUAGCUAACGCAUUAAGCGCCCCGCC